UGAUUGUAUUUGUUUAAAUUUUGGUAUUGCAUAUCACUUGAAGAGAAUUUUAUGGUUAAUAAAAAAUAGAAAAAAAAAGUAGAAAAUUAAUUUGUUUUAUUGUUUCAAAAUAAAAAGUAUUAAUUUUAGUGUUGAAAAGUCGCUUUUUUUGAUAUCUGUGUGUUUAUUUAAUAUUAGAAAUUUAUAUUGAGUUGUUGGAAAUUUUAGAUUAAUUAGAAUUUGAAGUUUUUUUAGUAUUAGUUUUAUAACUGUUAUUUUGAUGUUAUAGUGUGAUUUUCUUUUGUUUAAUAAGUUUUUAUUAAAUUUAUAAUUUUAGGAUUAGUAGUUUUAUUAAUUUAGUGAGUUUAUUAAAUAUAAAUUUUGAAAUUGAAAUUCAAUCAAAUGUUUUUUAAAGACUUAGGCUUUUGAAUAAAGUUGGCUUCUGCCCGGUGAAUUUUUAACGGCAGUCUUAGCGUGAGGACAUUAAGGUAGCAAAAUAAUUUGUGCUUUUAUUGAGUUCCAGUAUGAAUGAAGUUAUUGGUUGAUUUUUUAUUUGUUUUUUUUAUGAAUUUAAGUAAGUAUAAGAAUGUGCUUUUACAAUUAUGCAAAGAUAAGUCUUCGGAAAUUCUUUUUUAAUAUUAUAGAUUUGUUAUAUUAUUAAAAAUUUUCUAGGGUAGAAUACUAUAUAUUUUAAAGGACUAUAAUUAAACUGAGGAAUUACUCCGGAGUUAACAGAAAAUCAUACUAGAUCUAGUUCUUAUAGUAUAGUAAGUUUUACAUCGAUGUUGUAUUUAAAUAUAUUAAGGGGGAGAAGAUUUAAUUUUUAAGACUGUUCUUCUUUUAAUUAAUUUAACGUGAUAUUAGUUUAAUUCAUCGUGAGAUAGAAUUGUUUAUCUUGAUAAUUGUUAAUAAUUAAUUUUAUUAGUACGAAAGGAAUAUUAUAAGAGGUUUAAAACUUUUUGAGCAUAGGGUUCAUU
rnacentral:rRNA from 1 species